GACGAACGCUGGCGGCAUGCUUAACACAUGCAAGUCGAACGGAGCACCCUUGACAGAGACUUCGGUCAAUUGAUAGGAAUGCUUAGUGGCGGACGGGUGAGUAACGCGUGAGCAACCUGCCUUGGAGUGGGGGACAACAGUUGGAAACGACUGCUAAUACCGCAUGACACAUUUGGAUCGCAUGGUCCGGAUGUCAAAGAUUUAUCGCUCUGAGAUGGGCUCGCGUCCGAUUAGCUGGUUGGUGAGGUAACGGCCCACCAAGGCAACGAUCGGUAGCCGGACUGAGAGGUUGAACGGCCACAUUGGGACUGAGACACGGCCCAG
rnacentral:rRNA from 1 species